rnacentral:rRNA from 1 species
UCCUACAGCCAUGCCACCCUGAACAAGCCCAAUCCUGUCUGAUCUCAGAAGCUAAGCAGGGUCGGGCCUGGUUAGUACUUGGAUGGGAGACCACCUAGGAAGACCAAGUGCUGGAGGCG